rnacentral:rRNA from 1 species
AGCUGCCAUAAAUAAUGCGAAUUGCAAAACGCAUUGAGCACAAAAAUUUCCAAAGCACAUUGCACCAUUGGGUUGAAUCCCCAAGGGACCUCUGGUUGAAGGUCAAU